rnacentral:rRNA from 1 species
CCUACGUGUGGCUGCAGUGAGGAAUAUUGGUCAAUGGACGCAAGUCUGAACCAUCAAUGCCGCGUGCAGGAAGGCGGCUCGAUGAGUUGUAACCUGCUUUUGUACGAGGGUAAACGCAGAUACGCGUAUCUGUCUGAAAGUAUCGUACGAAUAAGGAUCGGCUAACUCCUUGCCAGCAGCCGCGGUAAUACGGAGGAUUCAAGCGUUAUCCGGAUUUAUUGUGUUUAAAGGGUGCGUAGGCGGUCGGAUAAGUUAGAGGUGAAAUCCCGAGGCUCAACUUCGGAAUUGCCUCUGAUUAUGUUCGGCAAGAGAGUAGUUGCGGUAAGCGGAAUGUAUGGUGUAGCGGUGAAAUGCUUAGAGAUCAUACAGAACACCGAUUGCGAAGGCAGCUUACCAAGCUACUUCUGACGUUGAGGCACGAAAGCGUGGGGAGCAAACAGGAGUAGAUACCCUUGUAGUC